GCAAGUAUAGUUUUAAACCAAAACAUUAGAUUGUGAUUCUAAAAACAGGAGUUAAAACCUCCUUACUCGCC
rnacentral:tRNA from 1 species